GGAGGGGUGGCUGAGUGGUCGAAAGCAGCCGCCUGCUAAGCGGUUGAGGGGACUAAAUCUCCUCCGCGGGUUCGAAUCCCGCCCCCUCCGCCA
rnacentral:tRNA from 1 species